GGUUAAGCGACUAAGCGUACACGGUGGAUGCCCUGGCAGUCAGAGGCGAUGAAGGACGUGCUAAUCUGCGAAAAGCGUCGGUAAGGUGAUAUGAACCGUUAUAACCGGCGAUGUCCGAAUGGGGAAACCCAGUGCAAUUCGUUGCACUAUCGUUAACUGAAUACAUAGGUUAACGAGGCGAACCGGGGGAACUGAAACAUCUAAGUACCCCGAGGAAAAGAAAUCAACCGAGAUUCCCCCAGUAGCGGCGAGCGAACGGGGAGCAGCCCAGAGUCUGAAUCAGCUUGUGUGUUAGUGGAACGGUCUGGAAAGUCCGACGGUACAGGGUGAUAGUCCCGUACACCAAAAUGCACAGGUUGUGAACUCGAAGAGUAGGGCGGGACACGUGGUAUCCUGUCUGAAUAUGGGGGACCAUCCUCCAAGGCUAAAUACUCCUGACUGACCGAUAGUGAACCAGUACCGUGAGGGAAAGGCGAAAAGAACCCCGGCGAGGGGAGUGAAAAAGAACCUGAAACCGUGUACGUACAAGCAGUGGGAGCACCUUCGGGUGUGACUGCGUACCUUUUGUAUAAUGGGUCAGCGACUUAUAUUCUGUAGCAAGGUUAACCGUAUAGGGGAGCCGCAGGGAAACCGAGUCUUAACUGGGCGUUAAGUUGCAGGGUAUAGACCCGAAACCCGGUGAUCUAGCCAUGGGCAGGUUGAAGGUUGGGUAACACUAACUGGAGGACCGAACCGACUAAUGUUGAAAAAUUAGCGGAUGACUUGUGGCUGGGGGUGAAAGGCCAAUCAAACCGGGAGAUAGCUGGUUCUCCCCGAAAGCUAUUUAGGUAGCGCCUCGUGAACUCAUCUUCGGGGGUAGAGCACUGUUUCGGCUAGGGGGUCAUCCCGACUUACCAACCCGAUGCAAACUACGAAUACCGAAGAAUGUUAUCACGGGAGACACACGGCGGGUGCUAACGUCCGUCGUGAAGAGGGAAACAACCCAGACCGCCAGCUAAGGUCCCAAAGUCAUGGUUAAGUGGGAAACGAUGUGGGAAGGCACAGACAGCCAGGAUGUUGGCUUAGAAGCAGCCAUCAUUUAAAGAAAGCGUAAUAGCUCACUGGUCGAGUCGGCCUGCGCGGAAGAUGUAACGGGGCUAAACCAUGCACCGAAGCUGCGGCAGCGACACUAUGUGUUGUUGGGUAGGGGAGCGUUCUGUAAGCCUGCGAAGGUGACCUGUGAGGGUUGCUGGAGGUAUCAGAAGUGCGAAUGCUGACAUAAGUAACGAUAAAGCGGGUGAAAAGCCCGCUCGCCGGAAGACCAAGGGUUCCUGUCCAACGUUAAUCGGGGCAGGGUGAGUCGACCCCUAAGGCGAGGCCGAAAGGCGUAGUCGAUGGGAAACAGGUUAAUAUUCCUGUACUUGGUGUUACUGCGAAGGGGGACGGAGAAGGCUAUGUUAGCCGGGCGACGGUUGUCCCGGUUUAAGCAUGUAGGCUGGUUGUCCAGGCAAAUCCGGAUAAUCAAGGCUGAGGUGUGAUGACGAGGCACUACGGUGCUGAAGUAACAAAUGCCCUGCUUCCAGGAAAAGCCUCUAAGCAUCAGGUAACAUUAAAUCGUACCCCAAACCGACACAGGUGGUCAGGUAGAGAAUACCAAGGCGCUUGAGAGAACUCGGGUGAAGGAACUAGGCAAAAUGGUGCCGUAACUUCGGGAGAAGGCACGCUGGUGUGUAGGUGAAGCCCCUGCGGGUGGAGCUGAGACCAGUCGAAGAUACCAGCUGGCUGCAACUGUUUAUUAAAAACACAGCACUGUGCAAACACGAAAGUGGACGUAUACGGUGUGACGCCUGCCCGGUGCCGGAAGGUUAAUUGAUGGGGUUAUCCGUAAGGAGAAGCUCUUGAUCGAAGCCCCGGUAAACGGCGGCCGUAACUAUAACGGUCCUAAGGUAGCGAAAUUCCUUGUCGGGUAAGUUCCGACCUGCACGAAUGGCGUAAUGAUGGCCAGGCUGUCUCCACCCGAGACUCAGUGAAAUUGAACUCGCUGUGAAGAUGCAGUGUACCCGCGGCAAGACGGAAAGACCCCGUGAACCUUUACUAUAGCUUGACACUGAACAUUGAGCCUUGAUGUGUAGGAUAGGUGGGAGGCUUUGAAGCGUGGACGCCAGUCUGCGUGGAGCCAACCUUGAAAUACCACCCUUUAAUGUUUGAUGUUCUAACGUUGGCCCCUUACCGGGGUUGCGGACAGUGUCUGGUGGGUAGUUUGACUGGGGCGGUCUCCUCCUAAAGCGUAACGGAGGAGCACGAAGGUUAGCUAAUCCUGGUCGGACAUCAGGAGGUUAGUGCAAUGGCAUAAGCUAGCUUGACUGCGAGCGUGACGGCGCGAGCAGGUGCGAAAGCAGGUCAUAGUGAUCCGGUGGUUCUGAAUGGAAGGGCCAUCGCUCAACGGAUAAAAGGUACUCCGGGGAUAACAGGCUGAUACCGCCCAAGAGUUCAUAUCGACGGCGGUGUUUGGCACCUCGAUGUCGGCUCAUCACAUCCUGGGGCUGAAGUAGGUCCCAAGGGUAUGGCUGUUCGCCAUUUAAAGUGGUACGCGAGCUGGGUUUAGAACGUCGUGAGACAGUUCGGUCCCUAUCUGCCGUGGGCGCUGGAGAAUUGAGGGGGGCUGCUCCUAGUACGAGAGGACCGGAGUGGACGCAUCACUGGUGUUCGGGUUGUCAUGCCAAUGGCACUGCCCGGUAGCUAAAUGCGGAAGAGAUAAGUGCUGAAAGCAUCUAAGCACGAAACUUGCCCCGAGAUGAGUUCUCCCUGAGACUUUAAGUCUCCUGAAGGAACGUUGAAGACGACGACGUUGAUAGGCCGGGUGUGUAAGCGCAGCGAUGCGUUGAGCUAACCGGUACUAAUGAACCGUGAGGCUUAACCUU
rnacentral:rRNA from 1 species